rnacentral:rRNA from 1 species
CAAGUCGAACGAUCUGUAGCAAUACAGGGAGUGGCGGACGGGUGAGGAACACGUAGGAAUCUAACCUUGAAGAGCGGGACAACUUUGGGAAACCGGGGCUAAUACCGCAUAGUACAGAGAUGUUAAAGGGCUAGCAAUAGUCGCUUCGAGAUGAGCCUGCGGUCUAUCAGCUUGUUGGUGAGGUAAUGGCUCACCAAGGGCUACGACGGAUAGCCGGUCUGAGAGGAUGAUCGGCCACACUGGCACUGAGACACGGGCCAGACUCCUACGGGAGGCAGCAGUUAAGAAUCUUGCGCAAUGGGGGAAACCCUGACGCAGCGACGCCGCGUGAAGGAUGAAGGCUUUCGGGUUGUAAACUUCGGUAGACUGGGAAGAAGAAAUACGUUCGUUGAGGGCGUAUAGUGACGGUACCAGUCUGAAGCCCCGGCUAAUUACGUG